CUCGUAGGUGGCCAACUAAGUCAGACGUGAAAUCCCUCGGCUUAACCGGGGAACUGCGUCUGAUACUGGAUGGCUUGAGUUUGGGAGAGGGACGCGGAAUUCCAGGUGUAGCGGUGAAAUGCGUAGAUAUCUGGAGGAACACCGGUGGCGAAGGCGGCGUCCUGGACCAACACUGACACUGAUGAGCGAAACGAGGGAGGCGAAGCG
rnacentral:rRNA from 1 species